rnacentral:rRNA from 1 species
UACAGAGGGGGCAAGCGUUGUUCGGAAUUACUGGGCGUAAAGGGCGCGUAGGCGGCCUUCUAAGUCGAACGUGAAAUCCCCGGGCUCAACCCGGGAACUGCGUCCGAUACUGGAAGGCUUGAAUCCGGGAGAGGGAUGCGGAAUUCCAGGUGUAGCGGUGAAAUGCGUAGAUAUCUGGAGGAACACCGGUGGCGAAGGCGGCAUCCUGGACCGGUAUUGACGCUGAGGCGCGAAAGCGUGGGGAGCGAACGGG